GAAAGCGUUAACCGCAAAAGAACAAACAGUGAAUAACAGGAAAAAGCUUGUUUUGAUGUAUUCCUAAUAAGGAAAAUGUUAAUAAGGAAGUGUGUGUAAUUGAUUUUGGUUUUAAGCUAUAUAAGCUUUUGUAUUCCCUUUCGGGGGGGUCGGCAGCUUGGCUGUCAUUCCCCUGCAUGUUUGUAAUAAAGUGGGCCUCAGUUUAAUUUCCACAACAAUUAAACGGUGCUGUGAUUCGGAUAGACAGCCAACCCCAGAACCAGAGGACUGCGAGCAGAUCCCCGCCAGACCCAGGGCCCAUCUGAAAGAUAAGAGACCUUUUGAAAUCUCUAUUGUGGGUUUCUGGUGGAGGAUUGCCCGUAGGCUCUGGGUUCGGGUGAGUUGCAUGCUGUAUUUGGACUUUUUGCUGCCAGACAUGCCUGAUGCCCUUCUGGUUCUGGUUUCCCCGGGAAGAGCCACUGGGAAUGGCUGGGUAGGUCUAUGGGUUGACCUCUGUUUUGUGUGCCAGUGUGAAUGUUUAAGUGAGAGAAAGGGCCACAGUAAGAUGCCCAGAGCUCUCUGUGAAGCCGUUGGCUUGUGACCAGAGGUGUCUCUAAAGCAAACCCUGUGGCCCCAACUAAUGAGCUAAGAUGAGACCCCUGACCAAGACAGUUUCUCUCUGCAAUGCAUGACCAGAGAGGGUCUGUCUGGGGCUAGGAUUGUAUGACUCCAUCCCCUACCGUCUGUGACAGUCUGGUUCCCCUCCUCCACCAGAAGGUGGUCUGAUGAGCCACUAACUGGUCUUGUAACCUUGCCUGAAGCAACAGAGUAAGUGGCACUGUUCUCUCUGAGAGUAGCUGACGCUCUUUGCUGAAGGGAGGCUGUAAGGAAGUCAUGGACGUCCUAAACACACCUUCCCUGUGUGAGUGCCCUGUGUGAAAGGAAGUCGGGUACUUGGAGGCCAGAGGGUCCAAAAAGGAUCCACGCCUCACCAGGAAGGCUGGAAAAUGGGGGCCAGUGAGUCCAAAGGGGCCACCGUCCCGCCAAAAGGCACACGUGUGUACUACAUGUACACAAAUUACGGUCCUUUUACUUGCAAGUUCCUGAAAAAAUGGAAUUGGUAUACCAGGGAUGAUUCAAAAUUACAGUCUACCCUAGAGGGAAAGUUUUAAUCUUGACAGGAUUGUGCACCUCAGAGGCACACUUCUGGCCAAUGUUUGAUGCAUAUUUCAUAUGGUAUGGAGAAACAGAAAAAACGGUGCUGUGAAUCUCAAAGGAGGAGUCUCAAGGACUCCCAGGAGAAACUUUAAAACACAAUUAAAGGAGACAAAAGAGAAACUGGGUUUUCCAAGCCCCUGCUGCCAUCAGAUAUCUCUCUACCCUUUAAGACCUCUUUGGGGUACCCCCUCAGCUCCAUCUGAAGAUCUAUAAACUUAUAUUUAAACUGCGUAGGGGUGGGCAAUAUUCCUAAUCCCCACCCUGUCUCUUUACCUCUGACCAUUUCUAUCAGUCCUCUGUCUGACCAUCAUGCCUUCCUCCUCAGUCCUUGCUCACCGGUUAACCUUUUGGGAAGAUGCUUGCUAUGUAAAUUAAAAUGUACAUGGAUGCUCCAAGAGGGAGACCGACCCCAGCCUUUCCUCAUUGCAACAGGAACUGCUGGCUAAGGACCUCCCACCUCGUUGUGGGCUGAUCAUGCUGACCAGGUUGGGUACAUUGGAUCCGCCCAACCAGUGAAAGUUUGCCUGAACCCAGCAAGACCCCUUCCCAAGGUGCAGCAGUACCCUCUCUGAAAACAGGCUGAGGAAGGAAUUUGACCAGUAAUCACCUCCUUAAUAUAGCAAAAAGCCAUUAUUCCUACGGUUUCUUUAUAUACAGGUAAAAGAAGCACUAUCCAAGAAUCCUGAGCAUGCCUGCCACUCACUGGGACCAAAAGACUGGGUCUAUAUAAAGGUCCAUCAGUGAAAGACCACCCUGGCCCUGCACUGGAGAGGCCCUUACCAAGUCCUGUUAAUUACCAACACAGCUGUGUGGUGCUGGGGACCGACUGCCAUCCCUCCACCUCAGGAUGAUCCUCCGACUGAUGUUGCUGUUCCUUCUGGACAGCAAGAGAAAAGAACAAGGUGAAGUGCUAGUAACCUCUCCCUUAUACUGACAGAACUACUGUGCAUUUGGACUUUGCUAGAAGAACCAAACAAUUACAGGGUGAUGUGCUGGUAACCUCUACCCUGAAUAAUGCUAAACCACGGCUGUUCAAAGAAAGAAGAAGGAACACUCAUUCUGUUGAAAUCACCAAAGUCCAGGGAUUCCUGACUACAACAGACAUUAAGAAUUGGCCGUGGUGGAAAAGACGAAGUAUUGUUAAGUGGCAGGGAGGGAAUUGUGGGGACCGCACUUGGAAAUGUGGAGUUGAGUGGUGGGGUGGGUUUUUUUCCAGGGGCUGGGCUCUGUGCUUACAAGACAAGUACCAUCAAAAUGCACUGCCAUCCCUAAUUGGCUUCUGGAGGAUAAAUACCAAAAACACCUUGCUGCCACAGACAUUACUCCCACCAUUCCCUCCACCUCUGUCACCACCACUAAAAUUUACCCGAAUACAGAUAAUACUGUAUAUUCUAAUGAAACCCAAUGGCCCAGGCCUUCACAUCUUAGUGAUUUACUAAAAUUUUGUU